CGGGCUGUAGCGCAGUUUGGUAGCGCACCACACUGGGGGUGUGGGGGUCGCAGGUUCAAAUCCUGUCAGCCCGACAA
rnacentral:tRNA from 1 species